GACGAACGCUGGCGGCGUGCUUAACACAUGCAAGUCGAACGGAAAGGCCCUGCUUUUGUGGGGUGCUCGAGUGGCGAACGGGUGAGUAACACGUGAGUAACCUGCCCUUGACUUUGGGAUAACUUCAGGAAACUGGGGCUAAUACCGGAUAGGAGCUCCUGCUGCAUGGUGGGGGUUGGAAGGUUUCGGCGGUUGGGGAUGGACUCCCGGCUUAUCAGCUUGUUGGUGGGGUAGUGGCUUACCAAGGCUUUGACGGGUAGCCGGCCUGAGAGGGUGACCGGCCACAUUGGGACUGAGAUACGGCCCAGACUCCUACGGGAGGCAGCAGUGGGGAAUAUUGCACAAUGGGCGGAAGCCUGAUGCAGCAACGCCGCGUGCGGGAUGACGGCCUUCGGGUUGUAAACCGCUUUCGCCUGUGACGAAGCGUGAGUGACGGUAAUGGGUAAAGAAGCACCGGCUAACUACGUG
rnacentral:rRNA from 1 species